UGAUUUCCCUUUUCCAGGCUAACAAUGAUAAUGAAGAAGUUAUGUGAGUGCUACAUAUCCUUGGAGGUUUAGAGGAUUCAAGAUCGGAGGGCUACACCACUGGCAAACAUCUCAAGGAGGCAAUGUGCUGAGAUUCAAGAGAAUUUCAGUGCAUGGAAAGGUGUCGGCAUUACUCCAGGCAAACAGAUGCAUCUAAAACAUGUCACACUUCAGUGGUGAUUUGUAAAGAACGUACAAGGUCAUCACAUCAGCAAUUUGAACAGUGAAGCAAAAGCAGGAGUCCUUCAUACUUGAAC